GGGAGUUUACGAGGGCCUGUCUAGCCUGUCUCGUAAGGAAUCACGCUAUGUUGGACUUAGG
rnacentral:sRNA from 1 species